UCUAUAUAAGAGCCUAGCUAAGCUAGCUUGUAAGAUCUUUGAAAGUCAUCUUAUUCUUGUUUUUCCCAGAACACGCUGGAUGGUGGUUUUGACACCCAAGCCACUAACAAAUGCCACGAAGUCAUAUAAGUCACAGACUGGCGUGCUGAGAGUUAAAUAUUCUGUUGCACAUAUGUGGAGUUGAAUUAGUUUUAAUCGUGGCUACAGAUUUCCCAUGCCGUGUUUGUGGCAGAAAAGGUGGAGGGGGCAAUUUCAAGGCACGAUGCGGGAAAGGGGCCGAGGAGGGAGGUUUCUGAGAAAGAUGUUGCUUGCUGGCUUAGAGUCUCCAGUGCACAUCACUGAUAUACGUGCAUCAUAAAGCAACGUUGACUCUUCAGGGAGAAUUAGAUAAUGGUGUGCGCUGGAAACCAUAAGAAAAAUGGAGACACGCCUUCAAUGUUGUGGUUAAAAACUGGAAACCACAAACUCUCAGCUCCUUACCAUUGAGACUUCUUAAUAACAAAAUCCCUUCCUGACUCUGUGCAUAAUUGCCUGGAAGAGGGAGCGGGAGAUGAAGUCCUUCUACCCUGUAAGGUCCACACGCCUAUUGGACCAAUUCUCUGGCUCCCCACUGUUUGAGGUCUUCAUGCCAAAUGGCUGCUGGGAGAGUCAUGAAGCCAGUGGAUGGAAAUAGCUCUGCCUGCUGGGAGAAAGAGGAUCUUGGAGCACUCUCGCCUUGUCUUCUUACAAAUAUCAACCAAGCGUUUUUGUACUUCUGCCAGUUGCCAUAGAGACCGUGUGGGGAACACAUGUAAAUAUUCGGCGUGUGUGAGACGUGCUAAGGUCCUCCAGGGCAGUGUGGUUUUUCUUCUACUUGGCUUUUCUCUUCCUGGCCGAGAGCAGCAGUUUGCAGCCACAUCGGUAAGGCCUGUGGUUUCAGGCCUCAGACUCGUGCAGCUCGUUUUUAAGGAACUCAUCUACUGGCAGGGACUGGGAAACACCCCACAUUUAGAUCAUGAGACCCGGGGUUGCAAUCCUUUUCCUUCUAGUUUUUGGUGGCCGAAGGUUGCUCCAUCUCCGUCUUCUCAUCUGUAAAGUAGGGGAAAUAAAGCCCUCUUCCCGUGCAGAGGAUUAUGGGAAGGAACACAAGCUCCAUAAAGAUGCGAGCACUAGGGUGCUUGGCAGCAUUAUUAUGUCAUCUCCGUGUGCUCCCAAAGGCUUGUCAAACUGGAUCCUGUUACUCAGAGGCACACAACAUCAAACCUGGGAUAGUAGUCGUUCAAUAAAAAGAUGCUGAAUGAAUAAAUGAGGAAUGAAAACUUUGGAUGCCUAAACUAUGAGGUAGCUCCUUGGAGUAGAAAAGGGCCGCUACCUCCUCAAAGAGUCCUGCUGUAUCUGCAUUAGACAUCCUCCCUCUGAACUGUAUCAAUCCAUCCACCCGAAGACUCAGACCAGCACCUGGCAUACACUACAUGCAGAGACAACAUCAACAUGAACGGUGCAGAAUGGGCAAUGACCCUCUAUUGUUGCCAUUGCCAUUGCUGCUAUUCCUUUGCACAGCGUGGACAAGAUCUCCUAGCUCCAUAGGAUACAUUUAUAUUGCAAGGCAUUUCUUUCUUCAUUUGAUGCAUCUCAAUAUCCCACAAGAUAGGGUCAUGUGAUGAUGAUGGCACAUAAGGACUAAGGAAUUUAAUGCUCAGUGAGAGAUCUGCCAGCAUGUUCUCCCUCUGUUGUGGCAACUGUGAGUCGUUCCUUGAAAUGGAAGUGUCAUAGGAGUAAAGAAGCCUGGAUCCCUGAGGCACCAUGUGGAGGACAGAUGUCCCAGAGGACCAUCCAGACCUACAAUGGAUUUUGGG